AAAAAAAAAAUUGAGAUAACUUCAGGAAACUGGGGCUAAUACCGGAUAGGAGCUCCUGCUGCAUGGUGGGGGUUGGAAAGUUUCGGCGUUUGGGGAUGGACUCGAGGCUUAUCAGCUUGUUGGUGGGGUAGUGGCUUACCAAGGCUUUGACGGGUAGCCUGCCUGCGAGGGUGACCGGCCAAAUUGGGACUGAGAUAAGGCACAGAACCCUAUGGGAGGCAGAAGUGGGGAAUAUUGCACAAUGGGUUUAUGUUUAAUGAUGCGGCGCCCCCCGAGAUAUACACACAG
rnacentral:rRNA from 1 species